rnacentral:tRNA from 1 species
CGCUCAGGUACGCUAGUACCCAUGGCGGUAACGCCACGGUGGAAUGGCCGAGUGGUGAGGCAACGGUCUGCAA